GCCGCGGUGGUGGAACUGGCAGACACGCACGGUUCAGAGCCGUGUAUCCGUAAGGAUGUGGGAGUUCAAAUCUCCCCCGCGGCA
rnacentral:tRNA from 1 species